rnacentral:lncRNA from 1 species
CUUCCCUAACCAGAUCAGGGACCAGAACAUUCUCACUCCCUAACUGGCUUGCGGUUUUCAAGAUUCACCAGAACUGCUCUUGGUUACCUGAUGCCCAUGUCUUUGACUUCAAGUUGGUAGGUGCAGCCUGCCCCAGCUUGCCUACCUUGCCCAAAAGUGAAGCUAAUAACUGCACUUCUUCACCUUCUUCUUGGGUUCUGAACUGUUGUUCUUGACCUUCUUGGGGGCACAGACGUCCUCCUUAAGACCCUGUACCUUGUUGCCUGCCCAUUUGUAGUCAUGAGAUCUCUUACCUUGUCAAUGUGUUUUGAAAGGGGCAUCAGGAAAGCUGUUUACCGCAGGCUUCCCAAAGGCUGACAAAACAGCUGACUGAGCUUUCCGUUGCCCUGAUAAUGUCUUGUCCAUUUUAGCUGGGUAAUGGAUUAGGUCAGUUCCCCUGAAAUCAUCCAUCUGACACUAAUUUCUCAAAUCAUGGGUAUGAGCCAUCAUUGCCUUCUGCUUUUUUCUUUUAAUAGCAUCAGUAGUUGAAAAAAAGGUGAGAGAAGUGUCAGAGUCUAGUCAAACUGGUCUCAGAGCAAAGCAAAUGGCUGAAAAUUGCCCUGCUAUAUUUGCUUUAAAGACUAUCCACAUGUUCUGAGUCUAAAGGGACCCUGGAGAGACCCCUUCCAGCCUGUCCACGUUGUAGUAUGUACCUACACAAACACAUUUUCAACUGGCCUCCUGGCCUUCAACCCCAAAACAGACAUGCUCUGAUCUCUGGUAUUCAGAACGUUUGAAAAUCUGUUUUGAUUAGUUGAGAUGUUCAGCAAAGCCCUACUGGGUAGGAAUGCUGUUUUUGGAAAUGAAACUCACUAAUUGAUAAUUUACCUUUUGCAUCAGAAGAAAUACAGCUUUCCCACUGUAUUUACUGUCUUUUUCAGCACAUUAGCUGCUGUCUUGUUGAUGUGUUUAAGUGAAGAAAACUUGGGAGUGUUUUCAUAACCUAGGACUCUGGCAACCAGGUCCUCGUGUACACUCCUUAUUUAUGAAGAGGUUUCCUGUUUGGAAAUUCAAGGUCAGAGACAGAGACUUUAAAAAUCAAUGUCUAGACUCCUCUAUUUUGUGUGUUUCUCUAGGAAUGAUGGAGAAAUCCAUCUCUUGGGCAAACUCAUCUUUUUUCCUUUCUAAACUUCUUGAACAUCACUCCACACUUUCUUGGAUUUCAGGCAUUCUGAACGUGCUUUCAAACUCAGCUCUAUCACAUCCAUUAGUAUUUCCCACAUCCAUCUUUUUCAGAGUCCGCAUUUAUCUUUGCCCAACAGGGUCACAGCUGUAACUGGUUUCUUGAACAGUCUGAACUCAGUGGGGAAUGAACAUUAAACCAUCCUGUUUUGCUCCAGUCACUGACUGAGAUCAUGCUCAAAGGAAUUUCUCUUUAUUGUAUUUUGGACAACAUCUUGGCCAGAUUAAAACUGGGGUCACUUUUACUGAUUUAAAGUGAGUCAAUUUUAAAAUUCUGGUCUCCUUUCUGAUUGAAAUAUUGGUUCCUCCUCCCUCCCAGGAGAUCUGCAAUGAGGAUGGGCAGGGUCUGCUCUUUCAUUUUCCUUUCACUAUGGAGAGGGAGGAUAAGGGUGGAAUAUGUCUCGGGGAAAACUUCUCUCUGGAGGUCAUGAGGGCUGCUCGUAGUGCUUCUGUUCUCUGUCUUGCCACUUGGAGGAGUUACACUUUUCCACUCCCUCAUGGACUUUUACACUGACAGAUAAAGGAAAAGGCAUGUGUGGGAAUCUACAUUCUUAAAGCUUGCACCUGGAAGUGACUCAUCUCACUUCCAGUUAGUUUUUAUCAGCCAAAAUGAGCAAUCCUAUUGACCACUUAUUCUUCUUACUUGAAAGUUCAAUCCAAGCUUUGCAUGCUGCCCCCAGUCCAGAAUCUCUGAGUGAGGCUGAGAAGCCAAUUUGCUGGGUCUGAACAUGGCAAUUCUUAGUCUGAAGAUCCAUGAACAUGAUAGACAAUCUAUCUAUCUUCCACAUGCCCAUUAUGAAGUGGUGGAGGAAGCAUAGGGCAACCAGAAUAAAUGUUCUUAUUUAGAAAGAAGGAGGAACAGGAGACACAAAGCAGCUACGGGUCCACAGCAAUUCUGAAAUCCAGCUAGGCAUGUGCUGACAGUGUGGAUGGUCCUGGAUGCAGGCCCUAGCUUUGCUCACUAGGAGUUUCCUGGUCCACUGUUCCCCAUGGCUUUUGAAUCUGUUGUUCUAGAAUAUUCUUUCUUUUCCAUUAUUCUGUGACCUAGUCAGAUAGAUAUGGGCAAUUAGUCUGACUUUGAGCACUGAGACAUUUCAUCAAUCUGCUUCAUAACAGUGGAGACCUAAGAUCAUUCUAAGUCUUGAACAGUCACUGACUUCUUUCAGUCCAUAUAAGGUGGUUUCAUUGGUAGUAUAACUGUUGAAAAUAGCAAGUACCAUAUCUAUCAGAUUCCAUUCAGUUAUAUUGGCCAAUAACCACACAGUUCAUUUUUAGACACACUAAUUCAUUUUUCUGAAGUUCUUCUGUCUCCAGUUGGGUUAAUUAGGAGCCCUCUAGGCUUUUAUUUUUUCUCCCCUAAGCACUGUUUAAAACUGGAGGAAAUAAAUAAGAAUUAAGCCUUUGGUUGUAUCUUGCUCUUCUAUCUCCUUAAUCAAUGCAGAGGUUUUAACAAUGAGUUUGCAGAUCUCACUCUUGAUUUUUAUCUUUGAUGAGUUCUAAUUGGCCUUUAUCAUCCUUACAAUUUUCUUUUACAAAUUGAGAAAAGAGAAUUAGCAGCUUAUUGAAUUUUUUUAUUGGUGGAUUUUAUUUUCUUUUAUUUCUGCCUGACCCUAGCCAAUUCUUUUCUUUUCUUUUUUUCUAUUUACAUUUGCACCUGCAGCAUAUAGAUGUUCCCAGGCUAAGAGUUGCUGCCUAUGCCGCAGCAACACUGGAUCCUAGCUGCAUCUGUGACCUACGCUGCAGCUUGUUGCAAUACUGGAUCCUUAACUCAUCGAUUGAGGCCAGGGAUAGAACCUGCAUCCUCUUGGAGACAGUGUCAGAUUCUUAAUCCUCUGAGUCACAACAGGAACUGCUAUUCUUUUCUGAACUCAUCUAUUUCUCAUAAUACUUUAUCCAAUAAAGCUAGCAGCAACCAGCACACAAUAGGAAUAUUUUAUGAUUUCUUUCAUUAAUUCUACUGGUAUUCUCUUCCUUCAAUUUAUUUCUGGCAAUGGUUUUACCAAAAAUAUCACUGGUAUGUAGCAUUGAUCAUCAUCCUUUUAGCUUCCUAACAGUUUCCUAGCUGUUUAUCACCAGAUGACUAAGCAGUGCUAUGUAGUUAUGGUUUAAUGUUAUAUAUCAUGACUGCAUCUCACACUGAAUACUAAUUUCUAUAUCACUAAGGAUAUGCUAAGUAUCACUACCUAGAAUACGCUGUGGUAAAAAACAACCCUAAAACUUUAGCGGCUUAACAAAGUUUGUUUCCUGCUCCAGUUGCAUGUCCAACACAAAAUAAUAGAAGAACAUUGCUCCUAUGAUUGUUCAAGAACUCAGGUUGUUGGAGGCUCCAUGUAACUAGUGUUCACUGACUAUAGCUAGUUACAUGGCUACAACUAACUUCAAACUGGAGGGGGAAGAGUAAGGCUACCAGAUGCCUGGCAAGAACACUGGCAUGUUUGUGAACAGCCCUAAUGAAUAUUAUAAUCAUUGUAGCAAAAUAGUAAUUGCUUUUAGCUUUUGAUAGUUUAACUUGCCCAUCUGUGGUGCAGCUGUGGAAUGUACAAGAAUCUCAGCAAUCCUGAUACUCCCCUCAAGUAUGUUUUUUUUUUUAUAUUCUUCCCAAUUUACUUAAUAGCAAUUCCAUUUGCUCAUUUUUGUUGUUGUUGUUUCUGUUCAAAAAUCUUAUCUUUCACAUUUCUUCUUUCACACUCAGCAUCAAAUCUGAUAGCCAAUGCUAUUGGUUUUACCUUCAAAAUAUAUCCAUAAUAUUAUCCCUUCUCUCCAUCUCAGCCGUUAGCAUUUAGCUCUAAACUACCGUUGUUGUUCACCUAAUUGGUUGCCCUUUUUCUACACUUAAACUUGUAAUUAUUCUCAACAUAUUUCUCAUCAUAACUUUUAAUGAAAAAAGCUUAUAAUAUAAUUACUUGGCUCAAAACUCCCCAAGGUCUAUAUCUCUAGUACCUAAGACAGAACAGUGCCUGCCACCCAGUUGGCACUCAGGAAGGUGUGUUAAAGAAAUGAAUAAAACUAUGAAAAGACAGAUCCAUGCUGCUGAAAUGAGCAUUCAUGUGGGAAUUUUGUAUAUGGUGAAAGGGGCAUUUUUCACUUCAGUAAAUAACAAAUGUUGGAGUGGGUGUGGAGAAAAGGGAACCCUGGCAUGUUGUUGGUAGGAAUGUAAAUGGGUGCAGCCAUGAUGGAAAAAAGUAUGGAGGUUCAUCAAAAAAAUGAAAAAUAGUACUACCAUAUAAUUCAGAAAUCCCACUUCUGGGCAUACAUCCAAAGGAAAUGAAAGCAGAAUAUCGAAGUGAUAACUGUGCUUUCAUGUUCACUGCAGCAUUGUUCACAACAGCCAAGAUAUGGAAAUAACAAGUGUCUGUUAAUAGAUGAAUGGAUGGGAAAGAUAUGUACUGUUGCUCAACCGUGAGAAAGAAGGAGAUCCUGUCUUUUGUGACAAUAUGGAUGGAACUUGAGGGCAUUGCACUAAGUGAACUAAACCAGAGAAGGACAGAUCCUGCAAGGUAUCAUUAUAUGUGGAAUCUUAAAAAAAAAAAAAAAGUCAAACUCUGAGAAACAGGGGGUUGAAAAGGGCUUACCACGGGCUGCGGGGUUGGGCAAAUGGUGAGAGAGGUUGGUAAAGGGUAAAAAGCUUUCAGCUAUGAGAUGAAUAAGUUCUGAAGACAAUGUCAAACAUGGUAACUAUAAUUGAUAACACUAUAUAUUUGAAAAUCUGAAUUUCUUUUCUGAAGAUAAAUAAUAAUAAUGCAUUAAUUUUUUUUCUUGGAACAUUAUUUGAGUUAUCCACUCAUGCAUUCACUUGUCACAUAUUUUUGAGAACUAGAGAUAGGAUCUGCUUAGGCAGUAGGCACAGGU